GAUGAACGCUAGCUACAGGCUUAACACAUGCAAGUCGAGGGGAAACGAUGAGAGAGCUUGCUCUCUUAGUCGUCGACCGGCGCACGGGUGAGUAACGCGUAUCCAACCUGCCUCUGACCAAGGGAUAACCCGUCGAAAGUCGGACUAAUACCUUAUGCAGUCGUCGGAAGUCAUCUGAUGACGACGAAAGAUUUCAUCGGUGAGAGAUGGGGAUGCGUCUGAUUAGCUUGUUGGCGGGGUAACGGCCCACCAAGGCGACGAUCAGUAGGGGUUCUGAGAGGAAGGUCCCCCACAUUGGAACUGAGACACGGUCCAAACUCCUACGGGAGGCAGCAGUGAGGAAUAUUGGUCAAUGGGCGUAAGCCUGAACCAGCCAAGUAGCGUGCAGGAUGACGGCCCUAUGGGUUGUAAACUGCUUUUAUGCGGGGAUAAAGCGAGGGACGUGUCCUUCAUUGCAGGUACCGCAUGAAUAAGGACCGGCUAAUUCCGUG
rnacentral:rRNA from 1 species